rnacentral:rRNA from 1 species
CGAAAGCCUGACGGAGCAAGACCGCGUGGGGGAGGAAGGCUCUAGGGUUGUAAACCCCUUUUCUUUGGGAAGAACAAAAUGACGGUACCAAAGGAAUCAGCCUCGGCUAACUCCGUGCCAGCAGCCGCGGUAAUACGGAGGAGGCAAGCGUUAUCCGGAAUGAUUGGGCGUAAAGCGUCCGCAGGUGGCAAUGUAAGUCUGCUGUCAAAACCCAGGGCGCAACUCUGGUCAGGCAGUGGAAACUACAUAGCUAGAGUUCGGUAGGGGCAAAGGGAAUUCCCGGUGUAGCGGUGAAAUGCGUAGAGAUCGGGAAGAACAUCGGUGGCGAAAGCGCUCUACUGGACCAUAACUGACACUCAGGGACGAAAGCCAAGGUAGCG